rnacentral:tRNA from 1 species
AUUUAUAUAAUUUAAUUAUAGAAUAUUGCAUUGAAGCUGCAAAAGUGAGUGUUAACUCUGUAAAUG